rnacentral:rRNA from 1 species
UCGAGGAUCUUCGGCAAUGGGCGCAAGCCUGACCGAGCGACGCCGCGUGCGGGAUGAAGGCCUUCGGGUUGUAAACCGCUGUCAGAGGGGAUGAAGUUCUAGGGGGUUCUCCCCCUGGUUUGACAUAUCCUCAGAGGAAGUACGGGCUAAGUUCGUGCCAGCAGCCGCGGUAAGACGAACCGUAAAAACGUUAUUCGGAAUCACUGGGCGUAAAGGGUGCGUAGGCGGUCCGGUAAGUUGGGGGUGAAAUGCCGCGGCUCAACCGAGGAAUGGCGCCCAAAACUGUCGGACUUGAGGAAGAUAGAGGUGGGCGGAACUUAGGGUGGAGCGGUGAAAUGCGUUGAUAUCCUAAGGAACACCAGUGGCGAAAGCGGCUCACUGGAUCUUUUCUGACGCUGAGGCACGAAAGCUAGGGGAGCGAAGA